UACGUAGGGGGCUAGCGUUGUCCGGAAUCAUUGGGCGUAAAGAGCGUGUAGGCGGUCCGGUAAGUCCGCUGUGAAAGUCGGGGGGCUCAACCCUCGAAUGCCGGUGGAUACUGUCGGGCUAGAGUGCGGAAGAGGCGAGUGGAAUUCCUGGUGUAGCGAUGAAAUGCGCAGAUAUCAGGAGGAACACCUAUUGCGAAGGCAGCUCGCUGGGACGUAACUGACGCUGAGACGCGAAAGCGUGGGGAGCAAACAGG
rnacentral:rRNA from 1 species